rnacentral:rRNA from 1 species
CCUACGGGAGGCUGCAGUGGGGAAUAUUGGGCAAUGGGCGCAAGCCUGACCCAGCAACGCCGCGUGAAGGAAGAAGGCUUUCGGGUUGUAAACUUCUUUGACAGGGGAAGAGCAGAAGACGGUACCCUGAAAACAAGCCACGGCUAACUACGUGCCAGCAGCCGCGGUAAUACGUAGGUGGCAAGCGUUGUCCGGAUUUACUGGGUGUAAAGGGCGUGUAGCCGGGUCGGCAAGUCAGAUGUGAAAUCUGGAGGCUCAACCUCCAAACUGCAUUUGAAACUGUUGGUCUUGAGUAUCGGAGAGGUAAUCGGAAUUCCUAGUGUAGCGGUGAAAUGCGUAGAUAUUAGGAAGAACACCAGUGGCGAAGGCGGAUUACUGGACGACAACUGACGCUGAGGCGCGAAAGCGUGGGGAGCAAACAGGCUUAGAUACCCUUGUAGUC